AUACGGAGGGUGCAAGCGUUGUUCGGAAUCACUGGGCGUAAAGGGCGCGCAGGCGGUUUGGUAAGUCAGAUGUGAAAGCCCACGGCUCAACCGUGGAAGUGCAUUUGGAACUGCCAGACUUGAGUACCAGAGGGGAAAGUGGAAUUCCCGGUGUAGAGGUGAAAUUCGUAGAUAUCGGGAGGAAUACCGGUGGCGAAGGCGACUUUCUGGCUGGAUACUGACGCUGAGGCGCGAAAGCGUGGGGAGCAAACAGGAUUAGAUACCCCAGUAGUCC
rnacentral:rRNA from 1 species